CCCACGGGCCACGACCGAGGGAGAGAGCUUCGUUUCCACCGGUGGGCCUGGGCCGUCCGGGCCACCGGUCGAGCACGUCGGAGCAAUGGCCGACCCUCGUCGCAUCUCCUCUCACGCCGGCCCGGGGGACGGCGGCCGCCGAGGCGCACAUCACAAACCGCCUCCGCUCAUACGAAACCCUCAACGGCCGCCAUCACCGGUCACCAACGCUCUUUUAUAGUUUUGAUGGAAAUUGGUGCGAGGACAUGAGAAGAGAAUGGGCUCCCUUCUCGGCGAAUCCAACAAAAGUUUCCCGAUAAAGCAGUGCGUACCAUCAGUAUUUUACUCCUUUUUUAGAACUCAGUGAUCUUACUCUCUUAUCCUCAAUUUUUGGAUGAUUGCUAAUGAAUUAUUGCUGUAUGUAUAAUUUUGUACAAAUUUAUAAACAUUGUCACAAUAUAUUUGGGCAACUAGAAUGCUGAUUAAUCA